ensembl:lncRNA
ACUUCUCAACUGCACGUUCACACUCUUCUCGCCACACCAACCCACCUGUGGUGCCCACAUCCUGAUCUCUCCUGUCUUCAUACCUCUGCAUUGCUGGUCUCUGUCUGCAAUGCAUAUUCUCCCUUUCUCUGCCUGGGAAUCUCCUAUGCAGUUUCUCAUUACUCAGAUCAAUCCACACUUUCUUUUGACAACUACCCUUCUCUUUCUAAGUUUAGGUGCUUUUCAUUCUUUCUAUGCUUCCAUAGUACCCUAAACUUAUUUCAUCCAGAUCUCUUACCAUACCAUCCUGGAAUUGCUGGUCACCUUGUCUGUUGUUCACCAGUCUGAGUACUCCCUGAGGGCAGGGACUUUCAUAGUCUCUGACCUGAGAACCUAGGGUUUGGGGUGAGAAAUAUGCCAAGAAAGUGAAAGUAUUUAAUCAGAUGGGAAAAAUGAAAAUUCAAAUAAGAUAGCCAGAAGCCUGAACAUCGGAAGGUCUAAGAGGUGAUAGCAGGUCAUAAACAGAGGUCAAGCUCAGGAUUCAGGAAUCAGGAUAAUUAAAACAGGUUUGAAAGUGAAAUGCGGUGAAUGGUUUAAGAUAUAAGCUGUGGAUGAGGUGAGGGUGUCUGGGGCCUGAUUUUUCAGGGUGCUGAGAGUGUGACAGACACAGAGGUGGGUCUCACUGCCUUAAUAUGUUAGUACUGGGUUCUGCUACCAGCUUGAUAGUUUGAUGAGUUUCUCUGUUUCAAGGACUAAUUUUCUCAGCAAACAUAUACUGGGCAUCUACUCUGUGCCAGACACUGUCAGACAUCAUAAAUAUAGAGAGGAAUCAGAUAUGACCCAUGUGCUUGAGCUUAAGGUCUAAUGGAGGAAAUGGACACAUAAAUAGAUAAUGAGAAUAAAAUGAAAUAUAUACACAACAGAAAGCAGCACAUGGGUACUAUGAUAGCACAGAGGAAGGGCUCCAGAUUCAUUAAGGCACAGAAAUGGUCAUUUCCCUGAGGUCAGACAGCUACAGAAGUGCAGGCCCAGAAUUAGAGCCUAGCACUGUUAGACUUAUAAGUCCAAUUUUUUCCCACUGUAGGAAACUGGGAGAAGACAGAAAUCACUUUAUGGUUAUGGAGAAAAUUUAUAUGUGUCAGAUUGGUUAAAAUGCAACUGUAUGGUUCUAGGUUAAAGUCGGUUAAGAGUGAUAGUUGCAGCUGGGCGUGGUGACUCACUCCUAUAAUCCCAGCACUUCAGGAGGCUGAGGUGGGCGGAUCACAAGGUCAGGAGUUCAAGACCAGCCUAGCCAACAUGGUGAAACCCCAUCUCUAUUAAAAAUACAAAAAGUAGCUGGGCGCGGUGGCUCACGCCUGUAAUCCCAGCACUUUGGGAGGCCGAGACGGGCGGAUCAUGAGGUCAGGAGAUCGAGACCAUCCUGGCUAACAUGGUGAAACCCCAUCUCUACUAAAAUACAAAAAAAAAAAAAAAAACAAAAAACUAGCAGGGUGUGGUGGCGGGCGCCUGUAGUCCCAGCUACUCGGGAGGCUGAGACAGGAGAAUGGCGUGAACCUGGGAGGCGGAGCUUGCAGUGAGCCGAGAUCGCACCACUGCACUCCAGCCUGGGUGAUGGAGCGAGACUCCAUCUCAAAAAAAAAAAAAAA